AGAGUUUGAUCCUGGCUCAGAACGACCUCUGGGGGCGCGUCUUAAGCAUGCAAGUCGAAUGGCAAGACAGAAGCUUGCUUCUGUCCUAGAAUGGCGGACUGGUGAGUAACGCGUGGGUGACGUACCCUUUAGCUGGGGAUAGCCAUAAGAAAUUAUGGAUAAUACCGAAUAAGCUGCUCUUUGUUAGAGGGAGAGCAGGAAAGGAUCUUAGAUUCACUGAAGGAACGGCCCGCGUACUAUUAGCUAGUUGGUGAGGUAACGGCCCACCAAGGCGAUGAUAGUUACCCGGCCUAAGAGGGUGAUCGGGCACAUUGGGACUGAGAUACGGCCCAGACUCCUACGGGAGGCAGCAGCUAAGAAUAUUCCGCAAUGGACGAAAGUCUGACGGAGCGACGCCGCGUGGAUGAUGAAGGUCGGAAGAUUGUAAAAUCCUUUUAUAACUGAGGAAUAAGUACUUUGAGAGAAACGGAGUAUGGUGACUGUAGGUUAUGAAUAAGCAACGGCUAAUUACGUGCCAGCAGCCGCGGUAACACGUAAGUUGCGAGCGUUGUUCGGAAUUAUUGGGCGUAAAGGGCAUGUAGGCGGUUUUGCAAGCUUGGUGUGAAAUUCCGGAGCUCAACUCCGGAACUGCGUUGAGAACUGCAUAACUAGAGUCACUGAGGGGCAAUCAGAAUUCCAGGUGUAGGGGUGAAAUCUGUAGAUAUCUGGAAGAAUACCAAUGGCGAAGGCAGGUUACCAGCAGAUGACUGACGCUGAGGUGCGAAGGUGCGGGGAGCAAACAGGAUUAGAUACCCUGGUAGUCCGCACAGUCAACGAUGUACACUGGAUGUCUGAACAUAAGUUUGGGUGUCGAAGCAAACGCGAUAAGUGUACCGCCUGGGGAGUAUGCCCGCAAGGGUGAAACUCAAAGGAAUUGACGGGGACCCGCACAAGCGGUGGAGCAUGUGGUUUAAUUCGAAGCAACGCGAAGAACCUUACCUGGUCUUGACAUCCCGAUGAAAAGUCCCUAACCGGACUCCCUCUUCGGAGCAUUGGAGACAGGUGGUGCAUGGUUGUCGUCAGCUCGUGUCGUGAGAUGUUGGGUUAAGUCCCGCAACGAGCGCAACCCUUAUCUUUAGUAGCCAGCAGUAAGAUGGGCACUCUAGAGAGACUGCCGGGGAUAACCCGGAGGAAGGUGGGGAUGACGUCAAAUCAUCAUGCCCCUUAUGACCAGGGCUACACACGUGCUACAAUGGCGUAAACAAAGAGAAGCGAAGUCGUGAGGCAGAGCAAAUCUCAAAAAUAACGUCUCAGUUCGGAUUGUAGUCUGCAACUCGACUACAUGAAGCUGGAAUCGCUAGUAAUCGCAGAUCAGAAUGCUGCGGUGAAUACGUUCCCGGGUCUUGCACUCACCGCCCGUCA
rnacentral:rRNA from 1 species